GACGAACGCUGGCGGCGUGCUUAACACAUGCAAGUCGAACGGAAAGGCCCUGCUUUUGUGGGGUGCUCGAGUGGCGAACGGGUGAGUAACACGUGAGUAACCUGCCCUUGACUCUGGGAUAACUUCAGGAAACUGGGGCUAAUACCGGAUAGGAGCUCCUGCUGCAUGGUGGGGGUUGGAAAGUUUCGGCGGUUGGGGAUGGACUCGCGGCUUAUCAGCUUGUUGGUGGGGUAGUGGCUUACCAAGGCUUUGACGGGUAGCCGGCCUGAGAGGGUGACCGGCCACAAUGGGACUGAGAUAGGACCCAGACUCCUACGGGAGGCAGAAGUGGGGAAUAUUGCGCAAUGGGCGGAAGCCUGAUGCAGCAACGCCGCGUGCGGGAUGACGGCCUUAGGGUUGUAAACCGCUUUCGCCUGUGACGAAGCGUGAGUGACGGUAAUGGGUAAAGAAGCGCCGGCUAACUACGUG
rnacentral:rRNA from 1 species